rnacentral:rRNA from 1 species
UAACAAGGAUUCCCUUAGUAACUGCGAGUGAAGUGGGAAAAGCUCAAAUUUAAAAUCUGGUGGUCCUUGAUCAUCCGAGUUGUAAUCUAGAGAAGUGUUAUCCGCUUUGGAACCAUGUAUAAGUCUUCUGGAAUGAAGCUUCAUAGAGGGUGAGAAUCCCGUCUUUAACAUGGAUUUACUCCAGGGCUUUUGUGAUGCGCUCUCAAAGAGUCGAGUUGUUUGGGAAUGCAACUCUAAAUGGGUGGUAAAUUCCAUCUAAAGCUAAAUAUAGGCGAGAGACCGAUAGUGAACAAGUACCGUGAGGGAAAGAUGAAAAGAACUUUGGAAAGAGAGUUAAAUAGUACGUGAAAUUGUUGAAAGGGAAACGCUUGAAGUCCAGUUUUUAUUAACUGAAAAUCAACCUUACUUUUUUAUUGUCUGGUGUAUUUUUCAGUCAAUAGGUCAAUAUCAAUUUUGAUCAAUAGAUAAAGGUUAAAGAAAUGUAGCAUCUUUUUUAGAUGUGUUAUAGUCUUUGACUAUAUAUAUUGGUUGGAAUUGAGGAAUGCAGCAAUUAUUUGCUUUUAGGAUAUUGACAAUAAUGGCUU